ensembl:snRNA U6 U6 spliceosomal RNA
GUGCUCACUUCAAGCAGCACAUAGACCAAAAUGUGAACGACACAGAGAAGGUUAGCAUGGCCCCGGUGCAAUUUUGUAUACUCUCCUCAUGCCACAAAACCUUUUUAC